UACGUAGGUGGCAAGCGUUGUUCGGAAUCACUGGGCAUAAAGCGUUCGUAGGCGGUUUGGUAAGUUGGAUGUGAAAGCCCUCGGCUCAACCGGGGAAUUGCGUCCAAAACUGCCUGACUUGAGGGCCGGAGGGGAGAGUGGAAUUCCUGGUGGAGCGGUGAAAUGCGUAGAUAUCAGGAGGAACGCCGGUGGCGAAAGCGACUCUCUGGACGGUUUCUGACGCUGAGGGACGAAAGCUAGGGGAGCGAACGGG
rnacentral:misc_RNA from 1 species